rnacentral:tRNA from 1 species
GGCUUCGUAGUUCAGCUGAUAGAGCGCUUGCUGCAUUGAGGCAUGCUGUUUCUGUCGCUGGUUCGAAUCCAGUCGAAGCCC